UACGGAGGAUCCAAGCGUUAUCCGGAUUUAUUGGGUUUAAAGGGUGCGUAGGCGGCCUAUUAAGUCAGGGGUGAAAGACGGUAGCUUAACUAUCGCAGUGCCUUUGAUACUGAUAGGCUUGAAUAUACUUGAGGUAGGCGGAAUGUGACAAGUAGCGGUGAAAUGCAUAGAUAUGUCACAGAACACCAAUUGCGAAGGCAGCUUACUAAAGUAUGAUUGACGCUGAGGCACGAAAGCGUGGGGAGUCAAACAGG
rnacentral:rRNA from 1 species